AUCUAUAGCCAUGCCACCCUGAACGUGCCCAAUCCCAUAUGAUCUCAGAAGCUAAGCAGGUUUGGGCCUGGUUAGUACUUGGAUGGGAGACCACCUAGGAAUAACGGGUGCUGUAAGCA
rnacentral:rRNA from 1 species